UGCUAUGGCACUCAGCUUUUUAUUAACAACAACAAAUAAAAGAUUUAAACAAAAUACUUGUCACGCUGGUGACUAAAUAAAAUCAAGCUGAAGGUAAUUUCAUCCUUUUGAUUGCAGACGGGUGCGGUAUUGAAAGCUCUUUCUGCACCUAUUCUCCUAUGAUUGCAGAUUGCAGAUUACUGUUUAGCGAGAGAGGAGAGAGGACUGGAGCCAACAAGAUGUAGACAAAAACAAGGCACAGGGUUAGUGAGUCAGGUCGACUCAGUCCAGGGUGAUAAGUAUGUUUUUAGAAACAAUAGGAUUUUUUUUGUUUGCAAUUGGACAGAGCAGGCAGGCGUUUAUUGAAACAAAGUGUUUCUAGUUCGAGCUAUUGGGGAGAAUGAUGCAUGUUUGUUAGUGAACUGAAUGUGAAAUAGAUGAGCACCUGCUGGGACUGACGAAGAGAAAGUUUGUAGGCUGACUCCAGGCUGACUACAUCAGCUCCAGAAAAUACCUCGGCAAUAGUAUACGGGCGGCAUCAGGCAAGGCAGAGCUGGCGAUCCUAGGCGAGGCAGAGCUAGUGAUCCCUGGCUACCCCAGGCGACAGCGAGCAGGCAGCCCCAGGCGCUGCAGGCAGUGUGGGACAGGCAACCCCAGGCGGUGAAGGACAGGGCAGGAGCGGUCCAGCCAUAGGUGACGGCAGCAGCAGACCCUCAUAAAGCGACGGCCUGGAACGAUGGCCAGGUGCAUGUUAUCAGACACCAUUGAUUAUUCCCACCAUAAAACUGAAAGUUCAGGAAGCAAGAGGAGGCGAGGGAAGCACUGGAAGGGACCAGGCGGCCAUUUUGUUUGUGGAGAAGCAAGUAUAGGAUCCUGGACCAAGGAAACAGAAAAGACUGCUGCGCAGUACUAAAUAAAUCCAAGUAUUCACUACAUCAAGGAAGGAAACCCCAGCGAAGAUCAGCAACUUGGUACAGCCAGGAUACUCUCCUGACAGUGCUGCACACCAUGCUGUCACACCCAUAUCAGAUGAGCCCCUCGUGGGCACAGUACUGCACACCAUGCUGUCACACCCAUAUCAGAUGAGCCCCUCGUGGGCACAGUACUGCACACCAUGCUGUCACACCCAUAUCAGAUGAGCCCCUCGUGGGCACAGUGCUGCACACCAUGCGGUCACACCCAUAUCAGGCACAGGAGUGCAUUUCCAUUCCAGUAAUAUGUGCUAUCCUGCUGCACCAAUGAAUCAAAGGAAGAAGUGCCACUUAUCCUGUGAUACCCUGUGAUACCCUAAGAGGCACACCCAAUAAUUCCGAGCAGUUUCGGUUAAAUAAAGAAAUAGAUCUGAAA